GCGGGGCUCUUCGGAGUCCAGCGGCGGACGGGUGAGUAACACGUGGGCAACCUGCCUGUAAGACUGGGAUAACACCGGGAAACCGGUGCUAAUACCGGAUAAUCCUUUCCCUCACAUGAGGGGGAGUUUAAAAGACGGUUUCGGCUGUCACUUACAGAUGGGCCCGCGGCGCAUUAGCUAGUUGGUGAGGUAACGGCUCACCAAGGCGACGAUGCGUAGCCGACCUGAGAGGGUGAUCGGCCACACUGGGACUGAGACACGGCCCAGACUCCUACGGGAGGCAGCAGUAGGGAAUCUUCCGCAAUGGACGAAAGUCUGACGGAGCAACGCCGCGUGAGCGAUGAAGGCCUUCGGGUCGUAAAGCUCUGUUGUCAGGGAAGAACAAGUAUCGGAGUAACUGCCGGUACCUUGACGGUACCUGACCAGAAAGCCACGGCUAACUACGUGCCAGCAGCCGCGGUAAUACGUAGGUGGCAAGCGUUGUCCGGAAUUAUUGGGCGUAAAGCGCGCGCAGGCGGUCCUUUAAGUCUGAUGUGAAAGCCCACGGCUCAACCGUGGAGGGUCAUUGGAAACUGGGGGACUUGAGUGCAGAAGAGGAAA
rnacentral:rRNA from 1 species